rnacentral:tRNA from 1 species
AUCAAGUUAGUUUAAAUAAAAUUCUGGGUUGUGGUCCUAGUGAUGGGAAUUAUAUUAUGCCCACUUGAUA